GGACGGGUGAGUAACACGUGGGAACGUGCCCUUUGGUUCGGAACAACUCAGGGAAACUUGAGCUAAUACCGGAUGUGCCCUUCGGGGGAAAGAUUUAUCGCCAUUGGAGCGGCCCGCGUCUGAUUAGCUAGUUGGUGAGGUAAAGGCUCACCAAGGCGACGAUCAGUAGCUGGUCUGAGAGGAUGAUCAGCCACAUUGGGACUGAGACACGGCCCAAACUCCUACGGGAGGCAGCAGUGGGGAAUCUUGCGCAAUGGGCGAAAGCCUGACGCAGCCAUGCCGCGUGAAUGAUGAAGGUCUUAGGAUUGUAAAAUUCUUUCACCGGGGACGAUAAUGACGGUACCCGGAGAAGAAGCCCCGGCUAACUUCGUGCCAGCAGCCGCGGUAAUACGAAGGGGGCUAGCGUUGCUCGGAAUUACUGGGCGUAAAGGGAGCGUAGGCGGACUGUUAAGUUAGAGGUGAAAGCCCAGGGCUCAACCUUGGAAUUGCCUUUGAUACUGGCAGUCUUGAGUACGGAAGAGGUAUGUGGAACUCCGAGUGCAGAGGUGAAAUUCGUAGAUAUUCGGAAGAACACCAGUGGCGAAGGCGACAUACUGGUCCGUUACUGACGCUGAGGCUCGAAAGCGUGGGGAGCAAACAGGAUUAGAUACCCUGGUAGUCCACGCCGUAAACGAUGAGUGCUAGUUGUCGGCAUGCAUGCAUGUCGGUGACGCAGCUAACGCAUUAAGCACUCCGCCUGGGGAGUACGGUCGCAAGAUUAAAACUCAAAGGAAUUGACGAGGGCCCGCACAAGCG
rnacentral:rRNA from 1 species